AUAUACACAUUAAUAUACUGAGCCAAAAAAUGGCUUCGAAAAGAAAUGUAUUCAUUGCUGUGUUCUUAGUUGCGAUGCUUCUCAUUUCCUCGGAAGUUGCAGACACUAGAGAACUCACUGAGACGUCUAAUACAGUGGCGUCUAAAGUAGGUAAUCGACCUCCAAGUCCAGCGUAUAGAUGCGAGUCGGGGUGCUGUGGAAGUGGAGCUGAAAUUGAAUUGGAUUUUUGCCGUUGCUGCCGUUAAACUGCUCAAAAAUCCCCAUACAACUCAUUUAAUUAAUUCCUACCUUUUCUUGUUGUGCAAAUGAUGUUCACCAUCUUGUUUUAGGAAAUGUAAUAUCACUCAGAUAUGAAUUAAUUCUCAGUUCAUUUGAUAUUUCAUUGCUGGAACCUAUAGAAUAUGGUAUCGAAUGAAGAUCUUUCUUAUAUCCCA